rnacentral:rRNA from 1 species
GAUUAACGCUGGCGGCGUGCAUGAGACAUGCAAGUCGAACGGACGAUCGGGCUUGCUCGAUCGUUAGUGGCGGACGGCUGAGUAACGCGUGGGUGACCUGCCCCGAAGUGGGGAAUAACUGCCCGAAAGGGUGGCUAAUACCGCAUGUGGUGGCUGGUUCGUUCCAGUCUCCAAAGCCGCAAGGCGCUUCGGGAGGGGCCUGCGUCCGAUUAGCUCGUUGGUGGGGUAACGGCUCACCAAGGCGACGAUCGGUAGGUGGUCUGAGAGGACGAUCACCCAGACUGGGACUGAGACACGGCCCAGACUCCUACUGGAGGCAGCAGUCGGGAAUUUUGCUCAAUGGGCGAAAGCCUGAAGCAGCAACGCCGCGUGAGGGAUGACGGCCUUCGGGUUGUAAACCUCUUUUCUCAGGGACGAUGAUGACGGUACCUGAGGAAUAAGCCACGGCUAACUACGUGCCAGCCGCCGCCGUAAUAC